GGGGCUGUUUGGUUUUGACAGCAGGUAGAAGGGGUAAGUAAGCAUGUCGAGCGGGGUGAAAACGGCUCGUUAAUAACGGUUCACACACACAAUAACUGGCGAAUAUAACUACGCUUUCGCUGCCUGAUCGAAGUAUAGUAGAUUAACGGCUUAAUCCCGAUACAAGGUAUUGGGACGAAACAUCCUCCAAAGGCCGUCGCUCCGAGGCCGAUGAUCAGAGGGUGCAGCUAAAUCGGGGAUAGUGUUGAUUAGCCUCGUAAUCAGCAUGAAAUUAAAGAGGAUAAGGCAGCAGUUGGUAGCUUCGGUCUUGCCGCUGCACGAAAACCCAAACGAAGAUAAACAUGUAGAAAGCUUAUUCAUUCCUUGUUUGGACGAGGGUUCGACUCCCUCCAGCUCCAC
rnacentral:tmRNA from 1 species